CCCGCGGUAACUCAGUUUGGUAGAGUGGUCGGCUGUAGCCCGGGAUAUGUCGCCGGUUCAAAUCCGGCCCGCGGGACCA
rnacentral:tRNA from 1 species